UUGAACGCUGGCGGCAUGCUUUACACAUGCAAGUCGAACGGGGUGAGGGGGCAAACCUCUCAUUCAGUGGCGAACGGGUGAGUAAUGCAUCGGAACGUGCCUCGUAGUGGGGGAUAACCCGGCGAAAGCCGGGCUAAUACCGCAUAUGCUCUGUGGAGGAAAGUGGGGGACCUGUGAGGGCCUCACGCUAUGAGAGCGGCCGAUGUCCGAUUAGCUUGUUGGUGGGGUAAUGGCCUACCAAGGCGACGAUCGGUAGCUGGUCUGAGAGGAUGAUCAGCUACACUGGGACUGAGACACGGCCCAGACUCCUACGGUAGGCAGCAGUGGGGAAUAUUGGACAAUGGGCGCAAGCCUGAUCCAGCCAUGCCGCGUGAGUGAUGAAGGCCCUAGGGUUGUAAAGGCUCUUUUCGGCGGGGAAGAUAAUGACGGUACCCGCAGAAGAAGCCCCGGCUAACUUCGUGCCAGCAGCCGCGGUAAUACGAAGGGGGCUAGCGUUGUUCGGAAUCACUGGGCGUAAAGGGCGCGUAGGCGGGCUCUUAAGUCGAGGGUGAAAUCCUGUGGCUCAACCACCAGAACGGCCUUCGAUACUGAGAGCCUCGAGUUCGAGAGAGGGGUUGGUGGAACUGCGAGUGUAGAGGUGAAAUUCGUAGAUAUUCGCAAGAACACCAGUGGCGAAGGCGGCCAACUGGCCCGAUACUGACGCUGAGGCGCGAAAGCGUGGGGAGCAAACAGGAUUAGAUACCCUUGGUAGUCCACGCCGUAAACGAUGGAUGCUAGCGAUUGGUGGGUUUUACUCAUCGGUUGCGCAGCUAACGCAUUAAGCAUCCCGCCUGGGAAGUACGGUCGCAAGAUUAAAACUCAAAGGAAUUGACGGGGGCCCGCACAAGCUGGUGGAGCAUGUGGUUUAAUUCGAAGGCAACGCGCAGAACCUUACCAGCCUUUGACAUGUCCGGUAUGGGCACCAGAGAUGGAGCCCUUCAGUUCGGCUGGCCGGAACACAGGUGCUGCAUGGCUGUCGUCAGCUCGUGUCGUGAGAUGUUGGGUUAAGUCCCGCAACGAGCGCAACCCUCGCCCUUAGUAGCCUCAUUCAGUUGGGCACUCUAAGGGGACUGCCGGUGAUAAGCCGGAGGAAGGUGGGGAUGACGUCAAGUCCUCAUGGCCCUCACAGGCUGGGCUACACACGUGCAUACAAUGGCGGUGACAGUGGGAUGCAAAGGGGCGACCCUGUGCAAAAUCUCAAAAAAGCCGCCUCAGUUCGGAUUGUGCUCUGCAACUCGAGCACAUGAAGUUGGAAUCGCUAGUAUCGCAGAUCAGCAUGCUGGCGGUGAACUACGUUCCCGGGCCUUGGUACACACCCGCCCGUCACACCAUGGGAGUUGGCUUUACCUGAAGUCCGGUGCGCUAACCCGCAAGGGAGGCAGCCGGCCACGGUGGGGUCAGCGACUGGGGUG
rnacentral:rRNA from 1 species